rnacentral:lncRNA from 1 species
GUGUCCCAAAUGAGUAAAUAUUACAAUCAAGGACUACUGUAGAAAUGCUAAAGAGACAAGAGUUAUUUCAACAGUCAUGACACACAUACAUUUAUAGUUUUAAAUUGAAUUUAAGAAAAAUUAAUAAAUUUAUUUUUAGUUUGGGAUCAUUGGGGUAGAAAUCCACCUUUUAGAAUCGCAGUUUAAAUACUUUCUGGGAGCAAAUAUACACAUAUUAUCAUAUUCGUGUCCAUUUAAAUAAGAAAAGUUAUUGGUCUCAUGUGAAUGGAAGACACACAACUUUGAUUCACUUUUACUCUCUCCAGCUCCUAGGCUUGUGCAGCAAGUAUGCAAGACAGCAUUCUAAAACCUGUGAUAGACACUCCACAGUAUAACUUGGUGAGAAUUAAAUUUGAAAGAUCAUUUGAAGAAGCACAGUAUUUAUCAACCCAACAUUAAAGUAUCACUCUGUGAUUUUGUAAAAUGAACAUGUGGUCAGAGCUUGCAGCUCUACAAGCUGUGGGGCUGACACCAAGCAGCUUAGGCAAGUAAUUUUUGUAAAGUAAGGAGUACAGUAAAAAGGUUUUUUUUCCUGUUCCUAAAAUUAGGGGAAAAAAUAAUAUUUUGCAGAGCUUAAAAUUAGUUCUCUGAAGCUUACAG